AGUAAAGCAACUCAGAGGAAGGGAGGGAUGCAGAUUGGGGCCCGCAGCACAGGAGAGAGGCGCAAGGCCGACCUCACCUGCGCUCUCCAGAGCCACCCCCUCCUCCUCCUCUCUCAUGUCUCCGGCCAUCAAUCAAGUCACACAGAGAUGGACAGAGCAGUCCUUUUGUAGCCGAGCCGAGAGCCAUGCUUCUCCUAAACUGUUGGUUCCCAGAUUCUUAAAAGAUUUUGGUGGCUCUGGAGAAAAAGAAGCCUCAGCAUCAGCACCACACAGAUCAUCUGAGUCCUAGAGCCCAACCAGCCUUGGAGGCCACAUGGUACGAAACAGCAGCCAGACACCAAGGAUCUCACUCUGUCACCCGGACUGGAGUACAGCGGCACCAUCUUGGCUUACUGCAGCCGUGACCUUCUGGGCUCUGGCAAUACUCCCACCUCAGCCUCCCUAGGAGCUGGGGCUACAGGCACAUGCCACCACGCCCAGCUAAUUUUUGUAGAGAUGGGGUCUCACCAACUUUCCAGGGCUGAUCUGGAACUUCUGAGCUCAAGUGAUCCACCCACCCUGGCCUCCCAAAGUGCUGGUAUUACAGGCAUCAGCCACCACGCCCCGCCAAGCAAGAACUUUUGCCCUCUCAGUCCUCCACGAUCAGACGGAGUUCUGAGUCACUUUUAUGCCCCCUUCACACAACUUCACGCCGACUGUUUUUCCUCGAGAUACAGCCUCUGCUCCGUGCCCUGACUCAAUGCCAGCUCCUAACUUGCAGUUGUGUUCCUUGCUGUGACAUCCUAUAUGCUGAAUGUCCAUGGAGAAGUGUGGCUCACUUUAACCCGACUAAUUUCUAAAAAAUAAGUCAUCACAACCAAAGAUGGGCAUCAUGUUAAAAGACAGCUUUCAACACAAUCCAUGUAGCCCUGAGGGUAAUACAAGGUACACCAGGUACCAGGUAUACCAGGUGUUUCCCAUGUGUGCUUCCAGACAGAUUCCAACAGUCAGUCAUGACCAGACAAAUAUGUUUCCGAUAAGGACAUAGGCUUGAGAUCACUCUGAAAAGCAAGGAAAGUUGUACCACAGCAUGUUUAUAUCAACUGAUCUUGGACUUGGGACAGUUUAAAAGAGAUGAAAACAACAGAGUAACUUCAUUUUUUCUUGCAACUCAUUCAAAAUGUAUGAAUUUUGCAACUUUUUUUUUUUUUUUUUUUUGAGACGGAGUCUCACUCUGUCGCCCAGGUUGGAGUGCAGCGGUCUUAUCUCGGCUCACUGCAAGCUCCGCCUCCCGGUUGACAUCAUUCUCCUGCCUCAGCCUCCCAAGUAGCAGGGACUACAGGCACCUGCCACCAUGCCUGGCUAAUUUUUUUGUAUUUUUAGUAGAGUUGGGGUUUCACCAUGUUAGCCAGGAUGGUCUGCAGAAUUAUUUUUAUGCAGAAUUUUAUAUAGGCUACAAAAGGCCUUCGCAGGAUUAGAGGCAUUCCUCCUCUCUAGCUGCCCAAUCAGUCUUGGUCACCCCAGCCCCUCUCUCUGCUGCCCCCCACUUCACCCCGUCAAUGGCGAGUCCCUUUCUUACUCCUCCAAGGUCCACUGUGUGCACAAAGCAUCUUCCCAUAUUCAGAUCUGUUUCCAGUCAAACAGGUGACAAAUUCAUUCCAAUGAAAUUAUCUGUGACCGUUCACCUCUCCCACAUGCACCAACGUCUUAAGCCAGAGAAGCAAUACUUGUUUGACUUGAGUGAGUAAUAAAUGAUCAUUAUAAAUGGAAGAGAGAGGGUCUUCCCGCAGCCCUAGAAGUUUAAACACAGAAUUUUCCAGCUGCUUCUGCCACUUGAAUGCCAUGUAUAUAUAUUUUGCUGAAUAAAAACCAGGCCAAUUAUUUUUUCAGAUUAGUAAUUUUACCUAUAUAUGAAAUGCCUUACAAAUGUGUAACAUUUAAAUUGCAGGUACUAUACAUUCAAUUUUCUUUCAUCAAGUGGUGUAAACUCACUAAAAAUCAGUAUUAUCGUAGAAAACACAAAAGUCCUAGUAGGCAUCCCAAUCAGUAAAAGGGAUGGCCAUGAAAAGGGGAUGUGGUCAUAAAAUCAGCAACAGAAUUUUCCUGGCUUUAUUGUCCCUCAGUGAAGCUACGCUGCAAACCACUGUCACUGACGUAUGCUCCCCUGUUUCAAAGCAAACUUCAAUCUCCUCCAUAACCAUGCCCAGAAAAAACUUUUCUGUAAUGAAUGGUAUACUUUUGUAAUUUAAUACAAUUACAUUUAUAUUUUAAAAUAUUCAAUAUCUCAUUUUUUGUUGAUAUUUUAUGUCACAUUCGCAAAGCAUUUGGCACACCUACUAUAAGAGUGAGUGAAAAUUUUUUUUAAAAAAAAGGAAGGGAGGGAG
rnacentral:lncRNA from 10 species